GCAGGACACGGUGGUAGUCUUCACUGCUUCCCAAGGGGAAGGGGAGCUUACCGGUUACAAGGGAAUUGACAUCAGGUGGGCUCAUUAGUUACCACAGAAACCAGCAGUGGGGCAUGCUCCUCAUUGCCCCUUUGACAAGAAUGAUGACUCGCUAGGACCAGGGGCAAGCACAUGGAAAGCACAGGCUCCUCUACAACAUGGAUGGGGCUGCCUUGCCAGCCGGGGCCUGAAAAUGCACCCAGGUGGACAGAAUCCCAAGUCCCUGGACAACCUGUGAAAUGCUAGCUGCCUGUGAACAGAUGAAAGGGAGGACAGGCAAUUGUCCUGGAAGGACGGAUCUGCAGACAGGACCUCCCCCAACUUUGACCGUGUACAUCGCGGGGUCUGCUUUCCCAGUCUGACCCCUGCC
ensembl:lncRNA